CAGAGAUAGCCAGGAAGACUGAUAUCAAAUCGCACCAGUUUGACAGUGCAACAAGUUCUUUGCUGUUGUUUGUUCUGAGUUGAGGUAGUAUAAAGUGCUGGAAUACCUUUCAUUGCCAGUGGUAGAUGUACAAUUUUAACAAGAGACAGUGGGGUGCUGUGAAGUGGGCAUGAGAUGGACUCCCAGGAAUCUCCACACCUGGAGGCAGAUCCGUCAGAAUGUUUAGCCUUUGGCACCUUUUCCCUUCUACAGCUUGCUGAUUCCCUUCCAUUUUUCCUGUGUCUUCCAUUUUUGUUACUCACUCUUCUCUCCCACAUGGUGAAUCAAUGACUCCCCUAAUAGAGCCUGAUCUUUGGGCUCCAGCCUUAAUUCACAGGAAAGGACUUUGAUGGAGCACCAGGUGCCCCUGCCUAACAACCUGUGUAGCAAGAAGGACUCAGUGUAAGCAGUCAUCCCUGUCUAAAGCUCAGGAGUUUCUGGAGCUGAGAUCAUAUGAAUUUUGAAAAAUGAAGGGACACCAUUUCAAAACGGGCUGUUCAAAUGAGUCAUGAGAUAUUUAUAACUCCACAGGGUGUCUCACCAACACUGCACUCUCGUGUGGCAGAACCAGAAAAUGCAGCAGCAGGAGAAGAUUCAACAAACGAAUAUUGAAAUAUGCCAUGAAAGAUGGUUUUUUGCUUAGCGGUCAAGUUGACAUUUGUCUUUAACAAGACUCAGAGUUGAGAGAGCAAUUUGUUGAGAUGCUUUGGAAAUCAGAAUGCACAAAUGUGGCGGUUACUCUUGAUUGUUGGGCAGUGGAGAUAACUCAGUAAAGUGCUGACCCUUAAGCCUGAGGAGGUAUCAGAGUUUGGAACCCUAGACUAUGCAAAAAAGCUGGAUAUACUGUGCAUGUCUAAAACCCAAGAAACUAGAGUUAAGGGCAGGAGGUGGACAGAAGGACACAGAUGGAUCCUGAAGCUCAUUGGCCAACUGGUAUUGCCUUAAGGUGAGCUCCAGGCUCAUUAAGAGCGCCUGUCUCAAAAUAAUUAGGUACAGGAUGAUAAAAGACACCCAAGGUUGACCUCUAGUCUUUGUAUGCCCACAUACACAUGUAUGUGUACCUUGUACCACACGUGCACAUAUACUAGUGGCAUCCCUCCACCCCCCAGACUUGACUGUCAGCUUGACUGGAUUGAGAGAUGCCUAGAUUACCAAAGAACAAUUCUGAAUGUGUUCACGAGGGCUUUCAGAGAGAAUUAACUAACGGAUUGAGACCUGCCUUGAAUGUGGGUGGUACUGUCCAAUGGGUUGGGAGCCUAGAUGGAGUAGGUAGGAUUUUGCAGGAGGAAGUAGCAAGACAACACAAGUACACACUCAGAUUCCUGUUCUAUGAUGUGAGUGUCACAGGUUUGUCACAACCACUGUGACAUCACAGGCUGAAAUCUCAACCCAACAAUAAAGCUUGCCUUCUUUAAAUGGU